AUUGACUAUCCUUUGGCCUCUUGAAUCCUGGUGGGUGGAGACUGCACAGCCUCCCUCAAACAGUAAGGAACAAGAAGAUGACUAGAGCAAACAAAUAUCGUACUGAACUCUUGUAUCAGGAAAAUGCUAUUUUUAUCUAGAGUUCUGUGUGCGAUUCAGUGUGUCACCAACUGAAACUUGUGAACCUGAUCAUCUUCAUUUCACAAAGAAGCCAAACGGCUUAUAAGAGAGAAAUGAAAGGGCUGUUCAUUCACAGUGCAGUGUUCAAGAAACUCAUGUGAUCCAUUGUGGAUUGUGAGGAAAAGAGGAAGAAGUGGACAAGAGAGAAAGAGAAAAACCAGGAGGAAAAAUUGUAUGGUGGAAGGACUGCUCACAUUUGUCAGUCCACUUAUUUCUGUGACCAGCUGUUUUCUUCCAUGAUAGCUAUUAAACCUGGUGUACCAAAUCACCUGAUGGAUGAUAUGAGCAUUACUUGAGUAGCUUUGAAAAUAAACAAGUAUCAAUCAUAGAUCAAGAAAUGUCCAGUCAAAUUUGAAAACACACUUCCACUAAGACGCUUUCUCAGAUUCCUGCUAUAUGAGUUAUGAAUACACUGCACAGACAAUCAAUUUUUGUUAGGAUUUCAGAAUCUAAGAAGGACCUCUGAAUUUUACGAAAUCAGCAUUUUAAACGAACCUUGGAAAAACUAUUGUGUGAUCAGACACUGCAUUGAAGUGAUGGCACCCGUUGGGUAAUGGUACUCCUGGAUAAAGAGCUGAAUGCUGUGGUUUCAGUGACUUAUCACUGAAAUCUUGUGGUUUCUGUGUAGGAGCGCUGUACAAGUACAAGCUGGACAUGUUUGACAUCUUUAUUUCUGUGCUGUGAAAUCCAAUUUAUGAAAAUUGCCUCUGCUUUUAUUUUAUUCUUUUUCUUUAAUGAAGUCAGUGCCACAUUUUCCUUGCAUUCAGUGGAAACAAAAAAAGUGGAAAUAUUUUAAGGUAUCCUGUGAACUGCCUUUAACCUCUAAAGGGAGAAGAAUCAGUAUGUUCUGUUCUAUGAUUAAUAACUAAGAUAUUUAACUUUUAGAAAGAAGUUAAAAAAUCAAUGACCAACUGAUGGGUGGGGAGGAAGCAUUUAUCUGAUGUGGAGAUAAACUGAGAAACUAAGUGAAGAGCUCAUUUGAAUUAGAGUUCAAUCACUUGAAACCAAAAAAAAAAGAGAAAAAAAUAUCUAACUAUUUGCAUUAAGUAAUUCUGAAUUAAC